ensembl:snRNA LOC120101210 U6 spliceosomal RNA
AUGCUCACACCAGCAGCAUAUAUAGUAAGAAAAGAUUAGCAUGGGCCCUGUGCAAGAAUGGCAUAAAAAUUCAUGAAGCAUUGUAUAAUUUC